rnacentral:lncRNA from 1 species
GCCUCAAACGGUGUUUACCUCCAAGUUGGACUGCUGGUCCCAAGCAACCGGAGUCGGGGAUGACCCUGACCUUGCGUCUGGUUCUGUAACUCCCACCUUCCCGGGGUGGGCUUUCCUUGAUGGGAUCUGAACCCCCACCAGUGGCGCAGGGACCCAAUGCUGGGCGGGUGGUCCUUGAUACUCUGCCGCUAAAUUCGCCGGAGGAAAUCCCCUUCCCUUUCGCUGAGGAUCAGCUGCAAGUGCGUUCCCGUGCAGACACUACUGAUACAUUUUCAGAACCGAGCGACCAUGAAGGAAGACGAACCAUGAGAGCUCAUUACAGAUCAUUGGGCCGAAUUGGCACUGAGCCGCUAUGUGGGAAAUUGAUGAAAAUUUACAUCUAUAAAAGAGUGGACCAUUUCACAAUAUAUACAUAUAUCAAAUCAUUCUAUUGUUUAUCUGAAGCGAAUACAGUGUUAUAUGUCAAUAAAAAAUAGUACAUGUGCAGCGGGCGCCUAGCCUCCGACUCUUUUUUAUUUUUUCACAUUUAUUUCUGAGAGACAGAGAGAGACAGAGCAUGAGCAGGGGAGGGGCAGAGAGAGAGGGAGACACAGAAUCUGGAGCAGGCUCCAGCUCUGAUCUGUCAGCACAGAGCCCAAUAUGGGGCUCAAACCCAUGAGAACCGUGAGAUCACGACCUGAGCUGAAGUCAGAUGCUUAACCAACUGAGCCACCCAGGCGCCCCUAGCCUCCGACUCUUGAUCUCAGCUCAGAUCUUGAUCUCAGGUUCCCGAGUUCAAGCCCUGCCUUGGCCUCCACGCUGGGUGUGGAGCCUACUUAAAAUAAAAUAAAGCUUUAAAAAAUCA